CUAAUUAUUUGUGUGUGCCGAGAGGGGGUUACUAAUUGGGGAUUUUGCCAUGCGAUUUUUGCCUUAGUUACGCCCCUCCUCUCAGCAGUAGCGCACAGAACUUGAAGCAGUCUAUGAGAGGUGGCAAUCCGGUGUGCGUGGCAGGAAGCCCGGCGCCUGCGUGCAUUGUUUCCCAC